rnacentral:rRNA from 1 species
CAAUAGCGUAUAUUAAAGUUGUUGCGGUUAAAAAGCUCGUAGUUGGAUUUCUGCCGAGGACGACCGAUCGACCCAUACGGGUUUGAAUCAGGUUUGACCGAGGCAUCCUCUAGGAAGACGUGCAGCACUUUACUGGGUUGUACGGAGUCCUAGACUUUUACUUUGAGGAAAUUAGAGUGUUUCAAGCAGGCAAUCGCCGUGAAUACAUUAGCAUGGAAUAAUAAUAUAGGACUUCGGUUCUAUUUUGUUGGUUUCUGGAACUGAAGUAAUGAUUAAUAGGGACAGUCGGGGGCAUACGUACUUAACAGUCAGAGGUGAAAUUCUUGGAUUUGUUAAAGACGAACUACUGCGAAAGCAUUUGCCAAGGAUGUUUUCAUUGAUCAGGAACGAAAGUUAGGGGAU